GAUGAACGCUAGCGGCAGGCUUAACACAUGCAAGUCGAGGGGUAUAGUUCUUCGGAGCUAGAGACCGGCGCACGGGUGCGUAACGCGUACGCAAUCUACCUUUUGCAGAGGGAUAGCCCAGAGAAAUUUGGAUUAAUACCUCAUAGUAUGUGAGAAUGGCAUCAUUUUCACAUUAAAGUCACAACGGCAAAAGAUGAGCAUGCGUCCCAUUAGCUUGUUGGUAAGGUAACGGCUUACCAAGGCAACGAUGGGUAGGGGUCCUGAGAGGGAGAUCCCCCACACUGUACUGAGACACGGACCAGACUCCUACGGGAGGCAGCAGUGAGGAAUAUUGGACAAUGGGCGCAAGCCUGAUCCAGCCAUGCCGCGUGCAGGAUGACGGUCCUAUGGAUUGUAAACUGCUUUUGUACAGGAAGAAACGCUGGUUCGUGAACCAGCUUGACGGUACUGUAAGAAUAAGGAUCGGCUAACUCCGUGCCAGCCGCCGCAGUAACAC
rnacentral:rRNA from 1 species